rnacentral:rRNA from 1 species
UACGAAGGGUGCAAGCGUUAAUCGGAAUUACUGGGCGUAAAGCGCGCGUAGGUGGUUCAGCAAGUUGGAUGUGAAAGCCCUGGGCUCAACCUGGGAACUGCAUCCAAAACUACUGAGCUAGAGUACGGUAGAGGGUAGUGGAAUUCCCUGUGUAGCGGUGAAAUUCAUUGAUAUUGGGAAGAACACCAGUGGCGAAGGCGGUCAUCUGGUCCGGUAUUGACGCUGAGGCGCGAAAGCGUGGGGAGCAAACAGGAUUAGAAACCCCG